rnacentral:lncRNA from 1 species
UCUUCUUUCUCCAUGGUAACAGAACCUUUCAUAGUUAACACCAUCACCUCUAGAGCUCAAGUGUUUCUCCAAAUAUGUUAUUGCUGGCUGAGUGUUUGUGAAGCCUCUUCUAUUGGUCUCCCACCAGCCUGGAGAGAAAUGGAAACAGAUGAUUUGGAGAGGCUGGGACCUCCACCAAGGAAGCUGCAAAUGAGGAAGUUGUUUCAAUCCACGGUGCCAUGCCAUGCACGUUUAGUCACUCUAGUCACUCUGUCCUCAUGGUGCAGAGGAGCAAACCAGAUGGGUGAACGUUGACUCCAUUGGGUUCUUGCCUUGCACGCUUGACAAAAAGAAAUUUCAUUGGCCAGUUUCAAGUCAAACACAGGCAGUCUGAGUCAAACCUUCUCCUGUGGCCUUUCCCUACUGGUGGACCUUCCCCAAUGCAGAGGCGAGACUUGUAUCCCUUUGUGCCUCCUCCCUUCCCCACACACACUUUUUGUUGCUAAAAAAAAAAUCAAUUCUAAUAAAAAACCCCCAACCAUUUAUAUUGUAUUCUUU